UACAGAGGUCUCAAGCGUUGUUCGGAUUCAUUGGGCGUAAAGGGUGCGUAGGCGGCGCAGUUAGUCAGGCGUGAAAUUCCUGGGCUCAACCUGGGGACUGCGCUUGAUACGGCUGUGCUUGAGGAUGGAAGAGGCUCGCGGAAUUCCCAGUGUAGAGGUGAAAUUCGUAGAUAUUGGGGAAGAACACCGGUGGCGAAGGCGGCGAGCUGGUCCAUUACUGACGCUGAGGCGCGACAGCGUGGGGGAGCAAACAGG
rnacentral:rRNA from 1 species